GCCUGGUUGGCUUAGUCGGUAGAGCGUGUGACUCUUAAUCUUGGGCUUGUAAGUUUAAGCCCCACAUUGGGUG
rnacentral:tRNA from 1 species